GCCAUCAUCCCACACCUGUCACAAGACAUACUCUCCUGGCUGAAUGUGUUCAACACCAUCUGUUCUGUGGAUCAGUGGCUUCCUCACAGUCAGGACACAUCGUGUGGUGAUAGGAAAACACAGCGGCUGUGGCUACGGCAAUUCAACUGUGAAGUCACUCAAGUUCUCGGAUGACACCGCUCUGCUCCGUCUUAUAACUAACGACAAUGACAAGCGGCCGAUAACCUGCUGCAGUCAAAAUAACCUCGAACUCAGACCAGAUAGACCAGCGGAUGCACCACUUGUUGCAACUGAACAACGGUCUGCAGAAAGAUUCACCUCCCCUAUGUAAAGGUCCUACAUGACCCUUACGGCACGGAUGUUUGCUGGCAAGGUCAUUGCUGACCCAUUCCGACCCAGUCACCCACUGUUCCAAAAACUCUCCUCAGGCUGGUGGAGGCAUGGCAGGCAGUGCAGUCUUUCACAGACAACUUCCAAAGGCCUCGCAGUCGACUGCCCUGCUCCUCGUUGGCAUCCACACACUGAUAAUCCAAGAACACGGCCAUCAUCAUCAGGCAUAGAAACAGCAGCAGAGCAUCCAUACUGGCAUUACAUGCAAAUCGGCGGCCACUGGUUAUUCAUGCCAUGCUGACAGCUGAGCUUUGCACGGGGACAGUGAAGUAGGCCACACAGUCCUUCCGUUUGGCCUGGUGUUUCUCCUGACCCACUGGACAAGCAUCACACACAUGCCAGAGGAGAGCAGAUUCCCCAGCCAACAACCAUGAUUGAGAUCACAGAUGGCCAACCCACCACAAGGACUUGCAAGAGCUUUAGAAGACAAGGCAACCCUAUCUGACUUUCAACCCAUCCA